CACAGAUUUGGAUUUGCCAGCUGAAAUGUGAAGGUGGCAACUUGCAGCUGAGGGGUGGUGAACAGCCAAACAAACCAAGGGUGAAGGCAGCAUCUUUCACUGCAUGGCCCUUUCCAUAAUACGCUUCUGGGUGGAACAUAAAGGCGCUUCCAGAGUUGAGGCAGCGGACAUGCGUCUGGUCCUGCCAGCGUUACUGGUGCUGGCCUCCCAUCUACAGCAGAUAAAAGAUAGAGGGAUUAGAGCCGCAUGCCCUGGCUGCAAACCGAGGAGUCUCAGCAACCACACGAUGCAUUCUGCUGUGCUACACAUUUAGCUCUGUCUGCUGGAGAAGUAACAAAGGUCAAAUGAAGUUGCAAGGCAGCCCAUCAGAGACAGCCAAAGCAACUUAGGUAUUCAUGGAGGAUUUGCAGUUCAUCAGUGCAAAAGAAUGAAGAUAACUGCAUGGAAAAUAACCAAAGUGCCCCACGGGUUCCUGAGUCUAACAGGGAGUACU